UACGAAGGGGGCGAGCGUUGUUCGGAUUUACUGGGCGUAAAGGGUGUGUAGGCGGCAUAAUAAGUCGAUUGUUUAAUUUUGCAGCUUAACUGCAAGCAUGCGGUCGAUACUAUUGUGCUGGAGUUUGGAAGAGAGAAGUGGAAUUCUCGGAGUAGCGGUUAAAUGCGUAGAUCUCGAGAGGAACACCGGUGGCGAAGGCGGCUUCUUGGUCCAAUACUGACGCUGAGACACGAAAGCGUGGGGAGCAAACAGG
rnacentral:rRNA from 1 species